UAGGUGGCAUCAUAGUUUCUUUACAUGUUUUGGAGCAUGUGGGUUCUGUAAUAUUUGCGGGUUAUUUGUGUUUUAUUUAUGGACUGUUUUCAUCUACAAAAUUGAAGGGUGGAAAUUAAUGAACUUUAAAGAAAAUGGACGAUACUUGUACAAUAAAGGUAGAAUCUGCCAAGGAAAACAA